rnacentral:tRNA from 1 species
UAAGAUUUAGUUAAUAGAAUAAUUUUGGUAUGUCAGUCCAAGGUGGUGGGUUUUCUCACAAUCUUAA